GAAUGAGUAAAGAAAAGUAAAUGAAAUGAACAAAUUAUAUAUGUGAUUUAAGUGAAAUAAUCCUAAAACUAAACUCUUAUUUGUAUAUAAUUAUAUAUGUAUGCGAGCCUAAUAGGCCGGGCUUUUGUGGGCGGGCUGGGCGGGGCUUUCUUGAGCUUAAUCGAGUCGGGCCUAUGGGCGGGAUCGGGCUUUAGACACCCAAAUCCAAACCUAGCCCGACCCAAGAAGGACCGGGCCAUCUCAAAGCCCAUAAUGGGCCGGGUGGGGUUUUUUUUUGGUGGGCCGGACGGGCCCUCAUCGGCCCAUGAGCCCGCGGGCCAAAUGAUGACGCCUACUUAUUUAUGUAUUUGAAGAACGAUUUUUUUUUUUUUGAGGGAAAAUGUAACUGAACGUGCCCUAAUUUAUCAGUUCCAUUGACUAACGUGCCCUAAGAAGAAGCACAAACCCACCACCAUGAAACCAUGACCACCAAAACCUAUGCCACCUCCACCCAAUCCCCGACUUACAAAUAAAAAACCAUAUCCCCAUUUAUGGGCGAGAGCAUGGAACCACGGUUCUCCUGAUUGGCAUAACCACCGCCAAACACAUGAACACCGACAUGGAGAAUCACAUCUGUCCAGAUCUAGCCUUGCGCCUUUGUUUGUGGUCAACUACAGAGUGCCCAAGCUUUGUGGCCUUUGUGGAUCGGUCCAGAGGUGAGUGCUGAACUGUUGGGUAUGGUGAGUAUACUGUAUAUUCCCUUGCGCGGCACAACCCCACACCAUUCGGCAUCAACCAAGCCAUACCCCCCUCUUUCCCAGCACACCCCAAAAACUGAAACUUUGAUUUUUUUUCUUAUCUUCUGUUUUUGGUUGUGUGAGUUGUGUGAGAGGGAGAGGAGAGAAAGAGAGCAUGUGGUUGUGUGAGUUGUGGAUUAGGUGGGGUUGGGGACGGAGUAGUGGUGGUGAGGGUGGCUUUGGGUUAGGUGGUAGUUUUGGUCUGUAAAGUUGGGGGAGGAGAAGGGAACGAAGAGAUUUUUCAUUUUUUUAGAUCUCAUCUUCUGAAUUAAAAUUUUAAAUUUUAAAUAAUAUUAUUAUUUAAUCCUCUCUUUUUUCACACAAAUAAAAAAAAGGUCUCAUCUGAUUAUUAUUAUUAUUAUUAUUAUUAUUAUUUUUUAUCAAAACUCAUCUGAUUAUUUAAAAAGAAGACUUAAAAGUUAAAAUAGUCCCUGUGUUUUAUCACGUUGGCCAAUUUAAUCCCUGUAUUUUUAAUUUGACUAAUUUAAUCUCUGUGUUUAGAACCGUUAGCCAAUGUGAUCCAAUCCGUUUAAUUUAUGUUAAAAAAAAUAUUAAAAUUUUUUAAAUAUUAAUAAAAAGUAGAUAUAUUUGAAUUCAAUUUAAAAAUAGAUAAUUAAAUCAGAUCUAAAAUGUUGUUCUUGUUAUAAAAAUAACCUGGAAUAUGUAUGAAUAUUGAGCUGCACGUAAAGUAGAUGAGACACAGCAUUUAACGAGGUUCGGCUAUGCCUACGUCCUCGGAGAGCAGCAGCAGUAACGUUUUCACAAUAUAAAAUAAUAGGGCUACAACUUUAGAGUUUAUAAUAUGUGAGGCUCACUGAAUUUUCUCUCUCUUUCCUCUUCUAUCUUUCCUCCUCUUUUUCCUCUUCUUUCCUCUUCUCUUUUUCCUUUCUUCUUUUCUCCUCUCUUUUCUCUUCUCCCCUAUCUUUCUUUUCUCCGUUGGUCACUCUUCCCAUUGCAAGUGAUAUGCCUAUUUAUAGGCUAAGGUUUUGGUAAAAUACAGGGAAGGGAAGGUUCCUGGAAGAUGCAAGGAAACUUCCUAAAUUGAUAAAUACAGGGAAGGAAAGUUCCUGGAAGAUGCAAGGAAACUUCCUCUGUGGGCUCCACCUUCAAACUUUUACAACACUCCCCCUUGGAGACCACAAAUGAUAUGGAAUAUGCCUCGUUAAAAACCUUGCCAGUAAAAACCCAAUGGGACAAAAACUGGUCGAAGGGAAAAAGAGUACAUAAUCACGUGUAACAUAAAAUUCUGUGUAUAUUGACGCGCGUGCGACACUGCCUCGUUAAAACCUUGCCAGGAAAAACCCAGUGGGAUAAAAACCUGGACGAAGGAAAAAGAGUACAGUGUGUAAGGGUCUGUAUUGACAGCACGCUCCCCCUGAUGCUUGGCAAAAUAUCUUUAAGCCAUACUGUUGAUCAUCUGUCUGAAUAUCAUAGUUGACACUGCUGCUGUGAGUCAAUAGUGUAUGAAGGUCUUUAUUAAUACCAUGCUCCCCCUGAUGAAUAUCUCCCCCUGAAAACUUCAUGACUAGCUUUUUCCAGUAAGCGACCAUAGAGAUUUCCUGAGUCCGCAUAUCUUAGAACAUUUGGGCUAUUUAUAAGUUCACUAAAAAAUAUGCCCGUAUAUGGUGUUAUGCUUAGAUAGCAUCAAAUAUACCUCACAUCAUCCCAAAAUGAUGGUGAUGGAGUUGAGCCCUAUCUGGAAAAUAUGAUGUCCGGUCCAAUAUACUUCCGGAAAAUCAUUAAAGUGUCCAACGGAUAAUCCUCAUAAAAAUACUUUAAUACUUUCUUAGUAUAAGCAAGAAUUUCGUUGGCAUAAUGCUCGAUCGAGACAAAUAUUUCAUGAAUUCUGCAGAAGCUUUAAUGUGUUGCAAUCACAUUAUAAUCAAUGUACUCACUGAGGUAAUUUAUGCAUAUUAAUAUUGAGUACAAAUUUUGUGCUUCAAGCACAUGUCCUUUAGGGACUUGCUCUAUGCAAUAUCAAUCCUCUCAAUUGAUUUUGGUUAAAAGGGAUUAAACUUUAUGACACAUUAUAUAGCUUUUACCCAGCUAUUUAUACAUCUUUAGGAAAUCGCUUCUGGCGAUAUGCUCUGUGCAUUAAUAACCCUUAAAGAUAAUAUGUUGGUCUCCGUAAUUGUGUAAUAAGGGGGGCACAAUUGAAUCUGUAAAUAUGGAGAAAACCCAACAUUCCUUGUUUCUGCCAGAAACAGUGUGUCAUACAAAGUAGGUAUAUUCCCUUUUAUUCCGAACACCCAAGUAUAAAUUCAGUAUUAACAAAUUUUGGGGUUCGUAUUGUGGGUUUGUUCUUUCACGUUCAUUCUCAUUUAUAAUGGAAUUACCUCGUUCCAUUUUGGCCAAUGAUAUUGUCGACAUUUAAUAAUUGAACGUGGUUCCAAUCAACACAGCCCAUUGAUGAUUUGAGUAGCUACUCCAAAACCAAAAAUUUUCAUUCAUCAAUUCAUGAUCAAAAAUUGUCAUUCAUCAAUUCAUGAUCCCACCAUUCUCAUUUGCAUGCGCAUGCAUCUAUUAUAAGCAUUUCUUUACUUUUGGGUACCCAAGCCACUUCAUGGGGCUUUUAUUAUGUGAGAAUGUGGAUAUAACCUCCAUUGGAGCGUUAUUUAGCAGUAGGGCGUGAAUAAUCUCCAUUUAGGGAGUUGGAACAUUUAGAACCCAUAUAUCUGUCAUGCUGAAGGCAUGCCACAGAUUAAUACAUACAUGUCAAUUAAUUUCUGGGACUUUAACCCAUGUAAUUUGCUACGCAUUAGGCGUGCAUAAUAUCAAUAUUGACAUGUCAAAGGAUUGUCCUUUCGGGACUUCAAUCCACAUCAUUUGCUACGCAACAGGCGUGCAUCAUAUUGAUCACUGCUAUACCCAUAUUUUGUUCUUAUGGGACUUUAAUCUGUGCAGUGUAUUAUCAAUGUAUCCAUCUUACAAUCUGUAAAAUUUGCAUUAAUAAUUCAUGGAUACAUCCAAGCCAUUCUUUUGGAACGGACUUAUCUCCCCAUUUGGUUACCUUUCAAGAUAAAAUAUCAAAUAGGUAUAUAAGCAUAAAAUAACACAAGUAUUACUUACAUCCUUAGGUGGGAGAAACUUUUCUCAAGUAUCAUUCAAGCUCAUAUCAGCCCAGUAAAUAUAAUGUAGCGCUUGAUGGUCUAGUUAUAUCCUGCAAGAGCAAAAAUCACAAUUCUCUUCUCUGUCAAAAACAAAUAACUCUCAGAGUUAGGAUCACUGCAUGGAUUCAUUCUUCAGAUGUUCAUUCUAAAGAAAUAAAAUCUCUUAUGAACAGAGAGUUAUAAAAAGAGAAAAAAUGCAAAAAGAUUGUGAUAUUGAUUGCAAGGUAAGGUAAGCAAUCAAGGAAGGAAGCUGGUGGGAGCAAACAACAAGCUCUCAUUUCUCCUAGUCUAGAAAGACCUCAGGAGAUUGGAGCAUAAGGUCACCUUCACAGUUCCCUAAUGUAGCGGAAACAUGAUCAGGGAUAGUCUUGCUUCCUGAAUGUAUGAUCAGAGAUAGUCUUGCUUCUCAGGCAUAUUAAGUGCUCACUGAUAAGAAAAACAAGUAGAUAUCGCAUCACUAGGUAUGGAGAAAACUGGAUGUCUUUUGCAAAGAAAAUUUCGUUAGUAACACAUUUAUACACAAAUACAAUGAAUAGGUAGAACCGGUGAAUUUCAAAUUAACUAUAGGAAAAUUGCGAGAUUCUCGGGAUACUUUUGAAAAAGUAGUUCCGUGAAAUCCGUAAAGCAAGAUCGGCUUUGAAAAUAAUACUUUGAAAAACGCCGAAAGUGCCGACAGGCAUUAUUAGAGGCCACGUGAAGUUUUGGACUCUGGGAGAGAAAAAGAUAAUAUGGGGAUUCGAUAAGAUAUUGCCGACAGGCAUUAUUAGAGGCCACGUAAAGUUUUGGACUUUGGGAAAGAAAAAGAUAAUAUAGGGAUUCAAGAAGAUAUUGGGGUCCUGAAAAGUUGCCACAUUUUCGUCUAUAGAUAUUGCCUUUGCAAACUGCGUUUCAACUCAAUUUCCUUCAUUUUCCGAACCUUUAGUUUUUCUAAGACUUUCUUCGAAACCUUCUUAAAAAAAUGGCUUCCUCUUCUUCCUGCCCAAAUUAUUUCAAUUUAAAUGAUGCUCCCACAACAACCAGUGACGCCCAAGUUUGGCGUCCAUCCUUUGUAUCCAAAAAUCGUCAUCUCACAGUUAAUGAUUCUGUGAUGAUGAAUGAUGCUACUGCUGUCAUAGUAGCUAGGAAUUUCAUUAUUCCAAUGGAUGAAAUGUUGUUGACAGGGAGAUCAGAGGAAGAGGCUAUUGAUGACUCAAUGGCUUUUAGCAUUCAGAGUGCUGUUUCUGUUUCUAACAUGGCUGAUCGUUUGCGUGCCAGAGCAAACGAGGUUGAGAGGUUAGCUACUGAAAAUUCGUCUCUCCAAAGAAUGCUUCAUGAGUCUCAACAGGAGGUUGAGAAACUUAAAGGAGAGAAUAAUGCCUUGUUGAAACUGGUGAGUUCGUACUCUGUUGAUACACUGAGAAGGCUAGACAUGCUGCAGGUCUCCAAUGAAAGAAUUUUGGGAGACCACGAGAAGCUCAUGGCUAAGCUUAAGAGGCGCCGUCAUCUUCCUGCAGAGGCUUCCAGAACAUAAUGUAAUUUUUUAUAGAUUUCACAGGGCCUGCACCUUCAUUGCAGGUGGAAAAAUCUAUCUGUUAUAUGUUCCUGUUAUAAUAAUUGCGCAUAUUCUUAAACUUGCACCUGUGGUUUUUACGUCUUUUCAAAAUGACGAUUUGAAACCUUGUGCCUUAUAGGUUGAAAUAACCACAUUGUCUCUCCCAAAUUGCAUGGUAGCCCGGAACUUUUGGCAUGGGCACAAACUCAGAAUUUAUUUGCCCUUUUCAAAUGGACAUGAAAUGUGAAUUGAGUAAAAGCUAUGAUAAUAUCACAAUAUAGUAGUGAAGAGCAUUAACUACUAUAUACCCACAACUUCAAGUUUAGGAUCUCUCAUAUAUUUGGAUCCAUGGGCUUCCGCCCCAGAUAUAACAAAAUAUGUGGGGAGCCUCAAUUCAUUAUUUGAGGUUUAUAUUGAUAUUAUCCAUUUCGCGGUGUAUUCUUAACAACCGGAAUUCACAAAAUAUAUUUCUUCCUUGAGGUGUCGAUUAUAACAAAAUCGAACUUUAAAUUCAUCAUCUUCUUAUGCCAAAGAAAUAUGUGGCAUACCACAAUUUGCAAUAAUACCUCAAGGGUUGUCCAUUUAAUUGUUGGAACUUCAGGUUCUCAACACUGUUAAAUUUUGAACUUCAGGCCAAAGCCACAUAUUCUCAUGGUAUGGACAUUUUUACAAUUUUCUGUACAUAUUUCAGGAUUUCAAGCCCUUACAUAAUUGUCCAUAUUUUGAGGAACUUCUGGCAUCUCAUUUAAUUGCACAUCCAUGAGUUUAAGGAACUGCAGGUUCCCUUUUGUAUAUAGUGACGGUUUACCCAAAAUGGUUAAUAUUUAUGCAUACGUCACUAUUCAUGUGAAUAGUACUAUUCAUCAAGUCAUGAAUACAUAUCUAUUCAUCUGCCAGUACAGUUAUCAUCAAUGUGUACGGCACCAUGAACCAAUACGGUACUGUUACAUCAUUAAUGAACUCUAGGUCCUUAUUUACAUGUCGGGAUCAAGGACCUUUAAGUCCAAUCACAUGUUUACAAAUACAGUACCGGAGAGACUGCCAGCUCUCAUAUCAUCAUCAAGGAUCUUCAAGUCCUGAUGUAAUUGUAUGAUGAGGAUCAAGGAACUUCUGGUCCUGAUCUGCAUACUGGAAAAACUCAUCAUACAGCACAAUUAAUCCAUAAAAUAAAUUGCUGAUAAAUAAAUUACUGGUAUGGACGAUAAACCCGCACCACACUUUAAAUAAAUGUAAAUGUGCAGUAAAUGAAAUUCAUAAAGUUAAGGUGCUUGUAUGGGCAUUAAUUCUGCUCCAUACAUUUAAAUAAAAGUAAAGGCGUUGACGAUAAAUCCGCACCACCCUUUUAAAUAAAUGUAAAUGUGCGGUAAAUUAAAUUCAUAAAUUAAAUUGCUUGCUGUAUGGACGUUAAUCCCGCACCAUACUUUAAAUAAAAUUAAAUGUGCGGUAAAGUAAAUUGUGCUUGUAUGGGCACUAAUUCUGCUCCAUACAUUUAAAUAAAAGCAAAGGCGUGGACGAUAAACCCGCACCACCCUUUUAAAUAAAUAUUGUUGUAUGGGUAAUAAACCUACACCAUACAGUAAAUAAAUGUGGUGUUAAAACCACCACCGAAUAAAAUAAGAAAAAAGUUAGUAUUAGUAACGGUCUCCCACUGAUAAUAUGUUUAGUAUUACCAAGGGUCCAUUUUUGUUAGUGGUUAGUAGUAUAGAUAAUAGUGCAGCACAAAAAUUAUACUUGAGAGCUUCUCGUGCUGAUAACGUGUUAUAAAAAUAACCUGGAAUAUGUAUGAAUAUUGAGCUGCACGUAAAGUAGAUGAGACACAGCAUUUAACGAGGUUCGGCUAUGCCUACGUCCUCGGAGAGCAGCAGCAGUAACUUUUUCACUAUAUAAAAUAAUAGGGCUACAACUUUAGAGUUUACAAUAUGUGAGGCUCACUGAAUUUUCUCUCUCUUUCCUCUUCUAUCUUUCCUCCUCUUUUUCCUCUUCUUUCCUCUUCUCUUUUUCCUUUCUUCUUUUCUCCUCUCUUUUCUCUUCUCCCCUUUCUUUCUUUUCUCCGUUGGUCACUCUUCCCAUUGCAAGUGAUAUGCCUAUUUAUAGGCUAAGGUUUUGGUAAAAUACAGGGAAGGUAAGGUUCCUGGAAGAUGCAAGGAAACUUCCUAAAUUGAUAAAUACAGGGAAGGAAAGUUCCUGGAAGAUGCAAGGAAAGUUCCUGGAAGAUGCAAGGAAACUUCCUCUGUGGGCUCCACCUUCAAACUUUUACAACAGUUCUGAGCUCUUAGAUUAGAACCCUUGUUACAAAAAAAAAAGAAAAAAAAAAAAGAUCUAAAACUAAAAAGAAAUUAAAAUCAAGGGAUGAUAACACCAUCCAGUCUAACUGUCACCCCCACCACCCUUCUCUCAGCUUCUCUCUUUCUCCCAGCUACUUUCCGCAGCCAGACCCAAAGGCCCCAAUCCCAACUCCCCUAGCCACACCCACCUCAUGAACACGAAUCCUCCCCACCCCUGAGCUCUCUCUCUCUCUCUCUCAAACAACCCCUAUUGCCCAACCAUGUUCCAACAAGAUCUUUCCCAACGCCACCAUUCCCUGGCCAUUUGUCCCAUCCCCAGCCACGCCACCCAGAUCCUCUAGCCCACUCUGGUCGUCGCCCCACUCCCCCUCCCCCAAUCACUGAGCAGCCUCUCCCCCUCCCUGAUUAUGCCCAUCUUGUGUUUUUUUUUUCUUCCUAAUGUUAUGUUUUGGUUUUAAUGAAGUUUCAAUAUAUUUUAAAAUUAAUUCAAUUUUAAAAAUUAAUUUCAAAUAAGUUUAUAGGUUUUCAACAAAAAAGAAAAAAGAAAAAAAAGAUCAUUUAUGUUUAUUUAACGACAAUUAAUUUAACAGAAUGAACCACAUUGGCUAACGGUAUUAAACACGGGGACAAAAUUGGCCAAAUUAAAAACACAGGGAUUAAAUUGGCCAACGUGAUAAAACACAAGGACUAUUUUAGCAUUUAAGCCUAAAAAGAACUAGCCUCUUCGUACGCGCUUUCGCACCUAUAAGAGUCUUUUUUUUUAAAACUUGAAAUUUAUUUUAAAAUUAAAAAAGAUAAUGGGUAGUUGUGUUUCAUAAAAAUAAGAUCCAUUAUCUAUUUUUUUAAAUUUUUUAUUAUGAAAAAAUGUGAAUUUAUCAUAUUAUCCUCAUUUAAUUAAUAAUUUCAAUUCUUAAUGUUUGCAUUAGCAAAUGUCAUUUUUUUGGUAUUUUGAAUGUUAUUCUCUGCAUUUUCAUAUAUAUAUAUUGUUUAGUUUUUAGAAGGAAUAAAUUUUUUUAAUAAUUUUUUGACUGAAAUGCUCCUCACCAAGUACCAGAAGUUAUAAGAAUUUGACAAAAUUGGACAAUGUCAUUGAAUUACUUAGAAUUGCAAAACACUGGAGCAAAAGUGAUCAAAUGGAAGCCACAUGAACUUUAGUAAUAAAAGUGGUAAACUAUAGGGACCAAAAGUGACCUUUUGCCUAUAAAUAAUAGAGAAAAAAAGUAAAAAGGAAACGAAUUUAAAAAACAUUCCAGACCUCCUACAACAAAAUAGAAACUAGGCAUUUCUAAUUCAAAUGGUCAUGGGAUCAAAAUACUGGGACACGCCCCAUUACACACAGAAUAACUUGGGUAGGGUCUCUUACAUGCGCCAUGGCAGGCUGAGUACUCCAUUAUACCAUUAUGUAUUCCACGGACCGAAAAUGACUUUCCCUAAAAUAAAAAACAAAGCAACUAAAGCACUUAUGACUGGUCAUUUACAAACCAAAUUAUGUUCGAGUUACAGAGAUUCCUUUGACUAGAUGUGAUUAUGCCCUUGGUUAUCCUUGUCACUGCACAAUCAAACUAGCUCUGGCAUAGCCCCUUGAAAUUUGAAACUGUUCAGUUAUACCAAGAUGCGCCAUAAGAAGCCAGACAUGAGUGAGCAGCUCACCACCUCGCCUGAGUUGCCGGGCGUGGUGGUUCCAUUGACAUUGACAGGCAGCGUAAGAUAGCAUUUCCACCCACACAUGACUUAUCAACUCCCACUUCUUCUGAUUCUCCCAAUGUUUCUCUGUUUCCAGCGAUUGCAAAUCUUUAGUAAGUCGGCAUGCAUCAAACAGCACUGACUUGCUUCUAUCCCCUUUGACUUCAGCUGGAUUAACUUCGGUGCUCACCCCAAGUAAUGCUGUGCAAGCCUUCUUUUGUCGGUCUUCUUUGGGUUUUCUUUGUUCGGAGGAUUCAGCAGCUGGAACUCCGGUGCUCACCUCAGGCGAUGCUUUGCAAGCCUUCCUAUCUCCUUUGCAUUUUCUUUGUUUAAAGAAUUCAUCCGCUUCGGCGCAGGUGUCCUGGAAUCUGAUUUGUCCGAUCCCAUUGGGCAGCAUGAACGGCCGCAUGACUAGGAGAUACAACAAAUACUCUGAUAAGAACUUGCUGGCUUUCCAACUUCGACUGCUGAGGGAAUUUGGUUUCUUGGCCAGAUCAGAAUUUGGGUUGUCUUCUAGAUCAGAGUAGUAACAGAGGUCCGUUGCAAUAUGCCAGAGAAGAAUGCUCUGAUCAAAUUCGUCUUGGAUGCUCCAACCAAGUUUGUCAAGACACUUGUCAGUUUCAAGAACCCACUCCCCCUUGCAAGUACAAAAUUUCUUCCAAGACUCGGCUUUUGGAGCACUCCUCGAUUUCUUUAUAAGCUGCUGAAAUAUCAAUUCUUUCAACUCUAUAGGGACUUCCUUCGAAUUCUUAUAGAGAGACUUCUUGAAUUUUUUGUAUAUCCAUGGGAUCUUGUAGUUGUGGAGAAAGCUGCAAUGUGCCGGGUCAUCUUCACAGCAAAAACUUAUUAAGUUGAACUGUAAAAUGACAUUAGACCACCUUUUGGUUUCAGCUAAUGGAAUUGAUGAAGUGAUCGGAUGCAACAAAUAUUCCACUACCUUGUUGUGCUUCUUAUUCAGCCAAAGUUUGGUCCAGUCUGAUGAGAGUGAUAAAAUUACAGCACAGACCUCUAGGAUGAUUGCUCCAGCCAGCAACAUGUAAGUGAUGGUUACAUUUACUUUGUAGAAAUCUUUCUUGUCGAUGACCAAGAACGCUGCAGAAACAGAAACUAUGCAAACAAAACUGCUGAGACGAAAAAUGACACCUUGCACAGAGUAAACCAGGACCGCCUUUGUAUAGAACAAAUCAUACAUAAACCCGAGCUCAAUCUCAAUUACUUGGAAAGCUUCGUUGCAGGAUCUGUUCAGGAAGAAGGACCGGCUGUUCAAGAUGUCAUGGAUGCUGAGGAUGAGAUCAGCGAAAAGGCGCUUGAAAACUUUUAAGAAAACAGAGGCAUGAUGCAAAUUGGCUGCAUUGGGAAAGAUGUUAGGAGCUGUAAAGGAGGAAUAAUCACCUGUUGUAGGAGCUUCAGUUUCUUCCCCUAACUUAACCACGUACCCUUCUUUCUGGUUUGAGCAGAACUCGUCCGUGAAUCUCGCGUAGUUGGGGCCCGGAUCAGGAGGAGGGAACAUAGCCUCUCUAAAAUGCUUGCUGCUUGCAGACCUCAAAACCCAAGUCCUUUCUCCAAACUUGAUAGCGCCAGCAAUAAAAAUUGGAAUGGCUAACAAGUUAAGGGUAUGACCUACCCAGGCUUGAAGAAAGAUAUAGAAAGCCAGAGACACCUGGACAAGGAGAACAAGCAAGUGCCUCCACCACAGCUCAUUGUCUUCCAAUGAGUAUGCAGUAAUGGUGUCAGGGCCAGCCAGAUGAAGCAAAAGAAAUGGAGCCCAGAAUGCCGUGACGAUCUGAUUGGGGUCUGGAGAAUGAGUUGCAUGGUCGUUUGAUGAGUUGCUGGAAAGUAGGCUGAGAGAGACGGUUGCAACCCAAUCUGCUGACAAGUAGGCAAGCCACAGAAAUCUGAGCCAGUUUCUGGUUGAAUACUUUCUUCUGUUGCCGAUGAGCAAGAGAAUGGCCUGUAAGAUGAGGCUUAAUGGUACCAUAACACGGAUUUCCCACAAACUCCAUAGUAUGCGUAGUCUUUCUGAGAAAAUCCGCAUAUUCACCUUUCCGCUCUUCUUUUUCUUUUCUUUUCUUUUUACAAUCCUCUUCUUCAUCUAUUCUAUGCAAGGUCUAAAAUAUCGGUGAUAUCAGAAAUAUCGGUAGUCUAAAAACAAGAAAAUUUAAUGGAAAUAUCGGGAUAUUAUCAAUAUCAAUAAAAAUUGAAUAAAAACCACGGAAAUUGUAAGAAAAACUUGGAAAUUUUUAUUGAAACUUUGGAGGAUGCUUAUUUAGUCAAUUAUCUAUUAGUUUAUCACAAAAAAUUGGAAUGAAAUGCAUUACAUAAUGGAUUUAACUAAUUUAAGUUGAUUAUAUAGCGAGCUGACAAACACUGUGAGUGUAGAAAAUAUGUAGUAAUUAAUGAAAGAAGAUUAAACACACUGCAAUCAUUUAUAUAUAAUGCUUUACUACAUUAUUUUACAUUUUAUACAUUACAUGGUAAGAUACAUAAGUGACUUAGUACCACAUAGAGUUCCUAUGAGAUUCAAAUUUUUCACUAUCUUCAUCAUCUAGAAUAAGUGUAUUGUGGAGAGUAGUCAUCAAAUGAUAAAUCCCCAAAAUAGUUUUGCAUGUAAUUGUUAACAUGUCACCCAUAUGGAUCCGAGAUUGGUUGACGUUGUCCAUGAGCAAAAUCAUUUGAAGAUUGAGUCUCAGAUUCUUUCCAUGAGCUGCUCGAUUCCUUCCCAAAAGGAAUGGGAUAUGAAGGGUAGCGAAAUGGUUGGUUAUGAGUAUAAUCAUAAUUACUACUUCUCAUUCCAACAGAGUCCGAAGUUAUAGAUAACGAAUCAUCUUCUUGACUUGACAAAAUCGCCUUGCCUCUUUCUCUACGAGUAUAGUCCUUCCCUAUGGCACCAAUUCCUGGUCCUUCCCGCCUACUCUCAUGGUCCUCAUCUUGUGAACUUUGUCCAAGUAAGAAAUGUAAGGUCCAUCAUUCCUUGUCUAUCCAUGUCUCAAUAUUUAGAAGAAAAAAGAAUUUACCACUUGGACGCUACAAUACAAAGCAAACCAAGGAUGACUAAUUUUACAAGAGGAAACACCUUGAAUCCCCUUUGUGUUUUUUUCCCUUUUUUUUUUUUCAUCACAUCGAUAUGUUCGAUAUUUUCGAUAUUUUAGCGAUAUUAUAGCGAUAUUGUAACAAAAUAUUGCUAAAGUGUGAGCGAAAUUAUCGACGUCGAUAUUUUCUGAUAUUACCGUCGAUAUUCUCGAUAUUUAUACGAUAUGUGCAUGGAUACGUGAAAUAUCCGUGAUUCGAAAAAACGAUAAUAUCCUCGAUAUUUCGUCGAUAUUAUCGAUAUUUUAGACUAUGAUUCUAUGUAAAGAUUUAAUACUGCUGCUAAUAGGAAAUGAAAACAAAAACGGGAAAACUUUAAACAAAUCAAUAGAAAAAGACUAAAUUUUUUUGUUGUUGGGAAAUUCUGGAAUUAUAAUCAUAAAUGAUAUUAUUAAUGAAUAGAUUAAGAUGGGUUCCGUGAUCUGAGAUAUUGUCUACACAAUUAAAUUGUAAGCUAUUCACAGAGUCAUUUCUUGAAAUUUGAGUCAUUUAAUGCAAACUUGUAGUCGCAGUAUUAGGUGGGCUAUGACUAUGAGUAUCACUGGAAACAAUUAAUCAAGACCAUUCAUUUAUUCUGGCGUGUUUCAAAGGCUUGCCGUAUCUGUCAUAGUGUUAUUAGUCGGGCCCCAUCAUCACAUGUGAACAAAAGCUUGCCCAACUGAAACACGCCCGAAUAAAUGAACAAAUACAUGAAAUAAGGACUUAAAAAAUAUCAACAGACUUACUUUUUUUUUUAUUGCAUUUAUGGGUUUUCGAUGUCUUGACAGUUUCGGUAAAUUUGACUUUACUACUGGAAAGUUUCUCGAAAUUUAAACUUUAUUAACAUAGGUUUUUUUUUUCAUAUCAAUUUCGUACCCACAAUUUUGAUUUCACCUCAGUUUCAUACCCUCUGUCUCUUUCCCUUAAUCUUUUAACCCAUGAUGUGGCAGUGAAUAGGCCACAUAGACUCAUACUAUGGUGCCACGUGACCCAUAAAUAAAUAAUAAAGGGUUUUUAUCAUAAAUGGUCUUUGAGGUAUGUUAAAUUGUCACUUUUGUUGUCCUUUUAGGAUUAGUACUUUCGAUGUCUUUUAUUGUAUUUUUGAAGUUUAUUUGAUGAAGUUUAUCUUGGAACAAAAACAAAAACAACCAUCUUCCUCGCCAACAAUGCCCUCCACCCUCACUGUCUGCCAUGGAUGUCGCUCAUCUUUGUUUAUUCCCAUAUUCAUACUUCUUCACCUCAAUCAAUACAACCUUAAACAUGAAAAGGAUGCUUGAGAAUCUAGCAUAUCUAAUAAUUACACCUAGGCCUCUCUCUCGAUCUAGGGUUCAACGAAAUAUAUUGAGGAUAUGAAAGGAGGUGGGUUUAUGGUUUUAAGGGAUCUAUUGAACCCUUUAUGGUCUUGCAAGGCCAAGAACAUAUAGCUUCGAAGGUCAAGAAGUCUAAAAACUUCUGAUAGAUUUCCAUGGUAGGCAGUUGGGGUGGGGCAUUAUCGUUCAAGGAGGUGAUUGCUUGGCUUUUUCUCUUCCAAGUUUUCUAAUUUUAAAGAUAAAAAUAAGGGUUAAAUCCAGGUUUAAAAACUUAGUUAAAAACUUAGACAAGUGGCAAUUUUUGAAUGGGAGUAUCAUGAGGUGACGUGGUGAUAUUGUAUAAUUCUAUAAUUUCUCGAGGAGUUGGCGCUGUGAAAAGAGAGUGUGAGAGAGAGAGAGAAAGACUUUUUUAAUUUAAAAUUUUGAUUUAUUUAAUUUUUAUAUUUUCAAUUAAUUAAUUAAAUUAUUUAUUUACAGGUCCACGUGCCACCACAAGAUGAAUCUAUGUGGCCUAUUCAUUGCCAUGUCAUGGGUUAACUGAGUUUUUAAAGAUUGAUGGUGGGUAUGAAACUACAGUGAAAUCAAACUUCGGGUACAAAGUUGAUACCAAAAAAAAAAACUUUAUGUUGUAAAUUUUGAAUUUUGGGAAACUUGAAGGUAGUAAAGUGAAAUUUACAUUUGAGAUGAGUUUUGUGAGUUUGAUUUGAGAUCAUGUUCAAUUUUACAGCUUGUUACAUAAUAAAUUACCGACCGUUGACUGUUUGUUAUUGUUUUACUAAUGAAUUCUGUAAAGUCAACUAUUGAAAUUGUGUCCAAAAUCCUUAUAUCGGGAAGAGAUAAGAAUAAGAAACCUCAUCAUUAGUUUUAUCCUCCUCGAAUUCUACCAGUUCAUAGAGUUUCAAUUCCAGAUUUUAGUUAACAAAAGCCAUUCAUUCAUCCUCCUAUCUUAUAGCCAUUGUGUUUUCUAGCAUGUCAAAGCCUUGAGAAUGAGAGACAGAUGCCGGAGUGACACUGAUAGGGCCUGCUUAUCUUCAUUGGUGAUCCAGGGCAUGGACGCCAUGGGAAUAUUUAUUGCCUUCAUGCGUGCUCUUUGCAUUCUUUACAUGUUUUACAUAUUCGUAUAUGAAUGUACUUUCAUAUACUCCAAAUGGAAGUACAAGUGGAUUGAAAGAGAAUGGAGGUUAUUGGAAGCUGUUUUAGAAGAUUUCGAUGAAGUUUCACGGUGCGCAAAUCAGAUAACACAGGAAGCUAAUCAGCCUUUAGAUUCUGAGCUCAUUCAAGCUGGAAUAACCGUAAGACUGAAUGAAAGGGAGAAAAGCUGGAUGUCGGAAGCAAGAGAAGUGGUUUUGGAGGCAACAGGGUGCGUUCAAAGCUUUCGGAGAUUGAGAGAGAGAAAAGACUCUCCCAAUUGGUUGUUUUACAUGUUAGCAGAUCUGGUACCAAUGCUUGGUGUUGCCUUUCAGAUGAAGAGGCUGAAAAGUUUCUUUGGGAAGAAGGAGAUAUGUGCUGGUGACAUCUAUGAAUCGCUCGAACAGUCGAGGUCCAGGAUUAGAAGCCUGCAGGACAGAUCUAUUGUUGAUGGUCAGAUUGAACAUAAUUCUGUCAAGUCCAAGCCAUUACAUGAUGAGUUGAUUCCCUCUCUAAAGAAGAUCACUGAAGACCCAGACUUGAUGCAUGGAAUGAGGAAGCAAAUAAAAUCCGUCACUACGCAUUUACAGCUACUGCAUGCUUUCAUGAAAGAUUUACAGCCCCUCAAACUGGAAAGUAAAAUGGAAACGUCCUGGAUGACGAAAGCAAGUGAGAGCAUUGACAAAGCAAAAGAUGCCUUUGACAACAUCGAUGGACAACUAAAUCGGAGUCCGCUUCAAUUUUACAAUAAGUGGAUGGCUAGGAGGGCGCUUAAGAAGGAAAUGAGGAACAUUGGCACUUGUAUCUCUGAUCUCAUCGAAAUGAAGGAAAGAUAUGGAUUUAAAUUUAUCAGACGAGACUCGGCAAAAUCUGCUAACAUCCGAUCUCCUCAACAGCAAAACUUGCCAUAUCAGACAAUAGACUAUCGGGAUGUGAAUUCUGCUGUCAACCACAUUCGCUUCUGGCUGACUCAACUGCCUGUAACAAGCAAAGAAAGAAGAACUACCAUAUUUUUCCUCUGCAACCAGUUGGACAGCAUGUAUGAACUUUUGAGAGAUCAAAAAGCACUGUAUGCUAGUAAUUUUAGAAAUGCUUGCUUGACACAAUUGAAGGAGAUGGCUACUAAGAUAAAGCAUGACUCGAAAGUCUUCACAGAAGAUUCAGAAACAAAGCUUCCCUCAGCACUUACCCAAAUCACGGAGGUUGUCCAGCUUCUUCAAAGAUGCAUGAAAGUAUAUUCCAUUGAGGUAAGGGCCGAUUCAUGCUCAGCAGUUGGUUUGGAAGAAGACAUACACCAACUGGUCUUGCAACUGACUGAUAACAGUAAACAUCGUUCUAUCAUUUCCAUUGUGGGGAUGAAGGGCAUCGGUAAGACAACCUUGGCAAAGAAAGUUUAUAACCACACUACCAUCGCCAACCAUUUUGAUUUUCAACAUUGGGUGUCUUUACCUCAAGAGUCUGAUGAAAAUGCACUUUUGACAAGUGUUGGAAACCAGAUCCUCGGGACCAAAGAGCAACAGAAUGGCAAAGACUACUGGAUCAAGAAAGUGCGUGCUUUCUUGAACGAGAAGCGAUACCUUGUAGUUCUGGACAAUGUUUUAUCAAAUGAAGCCAUCUACGCUCUCAAACCAGCAUUCCCAAAAUUGACAAACGGGAGCAAGAUUGUGCUCACCACUCGCAAAAAGGUCAUCGCUUCAAAUGCUGAUCAAAAUAGCAUUCCCCACGAACUUAGGCUCCGAACGAAAGAAGAGAGCUGGCAAUUUUUCACCCAGAUGGUGCACAUUAGUGAGACGGAAACUCUUGUGAAGGAAGUUGUAGAAAGAUUAGGUGGAGGCUUACCAAUUUCCAUCCUACGUCUUGCGUAUUUUCUGUGGGAGAAGAAUGUGACAUCUGACAAACUAGAGAAGCUUAUGGGUACCCGUCAGGCACAGAACGUGAUGCCAUGGUUAUAUAACCUGGCAGCGAAUACAGAGUUGCAGUUCCACCCAAUUAUGAGUAAAUGCUUUUCGUACUUCCAACUCUUCACUAGGGAUUUCGAAAUCCCUGUGAGGAGAAUAGUCGCUUCAUGGAUUGCACAAGGGUUGGUACAACUUAGAGGAGAUGAUCAGACGACUCUUGAAGAUAUUGCAUACAAGUAUCUAAUAGAGUUGAUUGGAUGUAAUAUGAUUCAAGUAGUUCAAAGAAAGCCUAAUGGGAAGGUCAAGACAUGUUGCUUGCCUACUACUGUGCGAAAUCUCUCAUUGAAAGCCAUAGGCAAUACCACAAAAACUCAGUCAUGGUCAAAAACAAGUACAAGGGAUAAAGGUCAACUUGCCUAUCAUUUUGCUGAUAAUGAUGCCAGUUUCCAUCACAUUCAUCGUCUCAGCCUAAGUUUGCCAAAUGUCAUGCAAAACGAAAGCUAUCCCAACUCGAUUCUCUUUGUUGAUGCUGCAGAAGGAAAUACACUGAGAGAGGGAAUAAAUAUAUUUCUUCAAAAGGGCAUUGCUAAUGGUUUCUUCGGACAGCUACAGGUUCUAGACCUUGAACGUGUAUUCAGACCUAAGUUGCCGAGGAACAUAGGAAAAAUAAAGCAUCUGGCUUAUUUGGGCUUAAGGUACACUAAGUUGGAGACGAUCCCAUCAUCUGUGGGAAACUUGGUGAACCUCAAAACUCUAGAUUUGAAGGAUACUUGUCUCCAAACAGUCCCUAGUUCAGUAUGGAAGCUGAAGAAACUUCGGCAUCUAUACUUGAACCAGCUUUGUACGCUGCCUCAACUAACUGACCUUUCCUUGAGCAAUCUGCAGAUAUUGUCAGGUGUGCUGCUUGUGAGUAAGCGCAGUCCAUUGAAGGAUGGGCUCUCCAAGUUGAAAAACCUUCGGAAAUUGAGAUUAUCAUUCCAGCUCGAAGAGCCAGAGCAAAAGGUAUUGGCAACAUCAAUUUUGCAGCUGACCAACUUACAGUCUUUGAAGUUAUCGAUUUAUGAUCCCAACAGGGAGGUACCUCAGAUCCUGAAACUAGGGCGUCUCUCAGCCCUUACAAAACUGUCCAGCCUACAGUUGUUUGGAAAGCUUGAAAUACAGUCCAUCAUAAAUGAACUUCCCAAAAGCCUCACUCAUCUUACCUUAUCUUCCUCUGGAAUUGAACAAGAUCCAAUGCCAAAGUUAGGAAAGCUUCCAAACCUUCGAUCACUGUCUUUGUACUCUGGUUCUUAUCAAGGAACAGACAUGGUUUGCUUCAAGAAGGGAUUUCCCCUGCUUCUAGUUCUAAAGCUUUCAGAGCUAGUUAACCUGGAGAAAUUGGAUAUGCAAGAAGGAGCAAUGCAAAAUAUUAGGAACUUAGAGAUUAGAUCCUGCACGAAAUUGGCCAUCAUUACUGGAUUGAUGCAUUUAAGGACCCUCCAGGAAUUUAAAGUUAACUAAUAUUCAGGUGAUACUGAGAGUGACUCAGCACAAAAUUAUUCACUCUCCUGCAAUCAAAACAGGCAAUUAGUAGGCCAUGCCAAAUGGGAUUCUGGCUUUGUUCUCUUAAGUACUUCCCCUGUGAGUUUUUAAGUUUUCCUUGGAACAAAUUGUAAGAUGCAAGUGUGAUUCUACAAUUUGACUCCCUCCAUGUAUGCUCUUUUUUGUUUUAUGUGUUCCUUAUUGCUUGGUUUGUAAUGCUUCCUAUCCUUGUUGUAUGAAAGACGAGAAUAAAUCAUUGUGACAAGUAAUACACUAUGUUAGCUAUUUUAUAAUUUUCUAAUUAUAUUAAUUUAAUAUCUGAAAAGGAUAUUGUCUGCUUUGGGCCCCUCCUUUCUGGCCCUCACGGUUUUGUUUCUAGGAGCUCACGACCAACUUCCCAGUGGGUCACCCAUCCUGGGAUUGCUCUGGCCCCCAACUCGCUUAACUUCGGAGUUCCUACGACUCCGAAGCCAGUGAGCUCCCAAAAGGCCUCGUGCUAGAUGGAUGUGGGUGUGCACAUAUAAGACACAUUACCCCCUCUCUGUUGGUUGAUAUGGGAUCUUACAUAUUCUGGUUUUAAGCUUGAAUUGCUGGAAAAUGAUCAUUUCCUGUAAACAAUAGUGAAUAUACCUAUAAAGCAUGAAAGUCUUAAACCUCUAACACCACUUUCCAUCAGCUCAAUACCUGAAAGAUCGAGUGUCAAGUGUUCAUAAAUCAAUUAAUUGGAGUUGCAUUGACUCUUUGGCGUCUACAUUAUGACAAUUUCAUUUGAUAAACCAAAAAAAAAAAAAACUACAAUACAAUGCAUACAUUUGAGCCCUUCUCCGAUUCAAAAUUGGCCAAAACCUCUCUCAGUUGAGACUUUGAAGCUAAAGAAGACGGAUUUGAAUGUACGAUGUGACUGCUCCGGAGUAAGUGAGAUAGUUUGAUUUGGUUUCAAUCUCCACAUCUGUAUUUGAUCCUUCAUAAACAACGUUCAAGCAUGUAUUUUGAUCGUAUCUUUUAUUUCUUCACAUCUGUAUCAUAUAGUUCAAGCAUGUAUUAACAAUUAAUAUGUAGCAUUAUUUCAAGCAGGUAUUAACACAUCAAUCACUUAAACUAAACACAGAAGGAUUGAAUAAUUGUGAAUGAUAUUAAACCAAGACGAGGAUAUAUAUACAAGUACAAGUUGACUUUUCCUACAAGGAAAAGUAAUUAGCUAAUUACAAGGAAUCCUAACUAGGUAACUAUUCUAAUUAGGUAACGUUAAUUACACCAAGAAAUCAAGGAUCACCAGACCCCUGAAUUAUGGCUCACGUCAAUACUCCCUCUCAAGUUUGUGCAUAGAUAUCUCAUGCCCAACUUGUCAAGUGAGUCAUGAAAAACUUUUGUUGACACCGCGUGCGUUAAGACAUCUGCCAAUUGUUCUUCUUACUUUACAAAUGGUAUAUCAAUUAGCUUAUCUAUUGGCUUCUCCUUGAUAUAAUGCCUAUCCACUUCAACAUGCUUAGUUCUGUCAUGUUGAAUUGGAUUAUUUGCUAUAUCUCUUGCAGUUUGGUUGUCACAGUAAAGCUCCAUGACUUUCUUUGGUGGAAAACCAAUUUUGGACAGGAGUAUCCUUAGCCAAAGAAGCUCACAAACUCCCUGUGCUAUGCCCCUGUAUUCUGCCUCAGUUGAAGAUCGAUCCACUACAUUCUACUUCUUACUUCGCCAUAUAACCAAAUUACCCCCAAUGAAAGUGAAGUAACUUGAUGUACAACUUCUAUCUGUUAUAUUGCCUGCCCAAUCUGCAUCUAUAUAACCCUUGACAUCCAAAUGUCCCAGUUUUCUGAAUAUCAAGUCUCUGCCUGGGGUUUUCUUCAAAUAACUCAAAAUCCUCAUAACUGUCACUAAGUGAUCCUCACUAGGAGGAUGCAUGAACUGGCUAACAACACUAAUUGCAUAUGCAAUAUCUGGUCUAGUGUGUGAAAGAUAAAUUAGUCUUCCCACUAACCUCUGAUAUCUCUCCUUGUUAGUUGACACUUGAUCAUGAUAGAUUGCUAGGAGAUUCUGCACAAUAGGGGUUUCGGCUGGCGCAAACCCUAACAUACCAGUUUCUAUCAACAGGUCUAGAACAUACUUAUUUUGAGAUAGAAAAAUACUAGUAGCAGAGCGAGUUAUUUCGAUUCCCAAAAAAUACUUUAAAGCCCCCAAGUCCUUCAUCUCAAACUCUGAGGCUAAGUACUUUUGUAAUUUACCUAUUUCAACAAUAUGAUAACCAUAUCAUUGACAUAGAUUAUCAGUAAAGUAAUCUUACCAUCCAUACGUUUGAUAAAUAGGAUAUGAUCCGAGUUAACUUGAUGAUAUCCAUACUUCUUCACUGCUUUAGUGAACUACCCAAACCAUGCUCGCCAAGACUGCUUCAAUCCAUAAAGGGUCUUUCGAAGCCUACACACAUUCCCAUUGUUAUUAGACAACCCAUAACCAAGUGGCAUGCCCCAUGUAUACUUCUUCUUUUAGAUCUCCACGUAGAAAGGCAUUCUUCACAUUGAAUUGCUCAAGGAUAAUAAAACUUGCACCGUAUUCAUUUUUGCCACCGGUGCAAACGUAUCCGAAUAAUCAACUCCAUACAGCUACGUAUACCUAUGUUCUUAUGUCACUCAAAGGCCUAUAAGUUGAUAAAUUCUGGCACAAAGAAGAUCAUCAUCAGUCGAGAUGUGGUGUUUGAUGAAGAAAAUGUGUGGGAUUGGGCUGAAAGUAGCGCAAUACACAAGCAAAUUCCUGUAAGCUUUAAUGAAGAAGAAGACUCUUCAGGGAUUGUAGAGCCGCUACAAUCCUCUAAUUUUAGGACUUCAGGGAUUGCAUCACAAGUUCAAUCCUUUCCCAUAGGUGAACCAAAUGAGGUGCAACCAUCUUGUCCACGACCGUCAGGCAUAAGGAAAAAGCCUGCAUGGAUACUAGAUUAUGAGGUUAAUGUAAUUAAUUAUGAUUCUGAUGAAGAGAUUAGUCACUUUGUUGUGAUCCUGUGUCAUUUCAAGACGAAGUCCAAAGAAUCAAAAUGGUAGAUAACCAUGGCUGAGGAGAUCAAAGUAAUUGAGAAAAAUAAAACAUGGGAGUUGACAGAUCUUCCCAAAUGACAGGAGACCAUUGGUGUCAAGUGACACAAAACAAAGUUCAAUGAAAAUGGAGAAGUUGAUGAGUACAAAGCAUGUCUAGUUGCAAAAGGCUACAAGCAAGAAUAUGACGUUGACUACAAGGAAAUCUAAGCUCCAGUUGUGAGACUUGAUACCAUUCAUUUAGUCCUUUCACUUGCUGCACAAAAUGCUUGGUCCAUCUUUCAGUUAGAUGUGAAGUCUGCCUUUCUACAUGGAGAUCUGUAGGAGCAGGUAUAUGUACACCAAACCCUUGGUUAUGUGAAGUAAGGGCAUGAAAAUAAGGUAUUAUAAAUUUUUAAAAAGGCAUUAUAUGGACUGAAAUAAGCACCUCGAGCUUGGUAUAGUCGUAUAGAUGUUUAUUUUUUGAGCAAAUGCUUUCAGAAAUGCCCAUAUGAGCAUACACUAUUAUAAACUACACUUUAAACUAGAACUACAAAUAUGCUUGAUCAGUGCAUAAUUAUAUAUCAUUUUGUACCCUUCUAACUUAUUAUUUGGUUAUGUUUUUUAGUUAAACUUGUGUUUUUAAUCUCUUUUGUCUUUGUCGUUCAGUUAAUUGAGAUUUAGGUAGCAAUGGUGGCUUUGAGUAGGAAAAGAUGGAAAAUGGUGCAAAAACGUGCAAACUGAGUUAGCAAUUUGUUUUGGCCUUAACUUCUUCCUCCGACCAUGGAUUGGCCCAAAUGACAUGUGGUUGGAAAGAUAACAUUCUGAACUUCAAGUUGGAGUGCUCAAAGUCAUCAUUUGCUUAAGAAAAGCCCAAUUCGUAUGCCCAUGAAGUUGCUGGUCAUGCUGACCUAAGGAUGAGCUAAUUGUUGCUAGGUCAUGAUGAGCUAUGCAUGAGCUAUGGUUUCUAGUGGAAUUUGUUGGUGAAGUGCAAUAGCCAAAUAAGAAAAGAAACUGAUUUUCAAUUGCACUGGUGUGUUAGGUAAAGUUGGUGAAGUGAGUGUUGUAGGUAUAAGACAUAUUCAAAUCAGAUUUCCUCUUUCCUUCUCCCUAUAAAUACCACAUCCAUUCCACCCCAAAUGAAAGAAUCACAUCUGGGAUUCACACUCCCACAAAUCAUUCCAUCCAUCUUCACAAUCCCAUAAUUUCCCCAAACACAUUCAGAAAGCACCUUCAAACACUCCAAAAAUCAACCCAAAGCUCUAAACAGCCCCAAAUCACCAAAACUGUCGCAACAAACCUCUCUUCCAUUUCCCUAUGAAUUUCCUUUUUCUCAGCCAUCAACACUCACCCAAAAUCAUCACAAAUCACCUCAUUAACCUUCAUACAUCCUUCUAGAGAUGGAAAAGCUCUUGGAAAAGCAUUAGGCAUGCAGAAGCUCUUGGAGAAGCAUUAGACACCCCAAGAACUUCAGAAAAAGGGUUUUUCUACUCCUAUUGUAUUCAUUAUGUUUUCUCAAUUCCGUUCAUGUUAUUUUGGCAUUAUGAGUAGCUAAAUCCAUAUCUAGGGUUUCGAUGUAACCUAACAUGAAAUUUUUGGGUUUAUAAAUGUAACAUCCCUGACCCAAUUUAAUCGAUUUAAUCCAAUUUAAUUCUUUUGUAAAAUUACAAUUUAGCCCUUUGGAGUAGGGGUACUUUGGUCACUUUUUAAUCCAGAAGGAUUUUGCAUGACACCCCGACCUUGGGGGUAGGGUCAUUUUGGUCACUUUUUAAUCUGGUAGGAUUUUGGGGAAUUGAAUAGCACCGUUGCAUAGAGCUCGUCGAUAUGAGUUCGUAGACACGUAGUGGGCUCAAAUCAGCUUCGUCCGGCAACCGUUUCAAAUGAAACAAUUUGCAAAAUCCUCCUCUCCUCAUCCUCUACUUGACCCACCCAAUUUCUCUGGCUAAUUACCAGCAUAGCAUUGCUGGUUUCGAAGGGAAAAACUAGCCAGAUUAGUUGUCUACGCCAACAACGUUUUCGGCCACCUCCAGUCACGCCAUCACUUGGAUCAAGUAGCUCUCUCCUCCUUCUUGCUUUCUCCUAGGUUGCGCGACGCCAUUGUUGGUUGUCGUAGCUGUAUCGAGGCUGGGAAGUUCCAGUCAAAACCGUACGGUUCCAACUUCAAUCUGGCAAGCUCCAACCACUUUUUGGCCGUGGUUCGAGAACAAAGUUGCUCCCCAUAGUUGUCCCAAACAUGUAGGUAUAGGUAUUGUCAGGUGUUUUAUGAAUUUUCCGGUAGCCAAAAUUUUCUCAAGACACCCAUGCGCUGCCGGUGCAUGUGGCGGUGUGUUGGCCAAGAUUGGUUGGCCCAUUUGUUUCUAAAAUUUUUCCCAUGUCAUCCCAAGCAAGACGGUAUGUUCAUAUUCAAAUUUAGUUAUCGUUUGACAGCCAAACGGAUUUACGCCUAUUAGGCGAUAUCCGGGUUCAACAUGUUCGGACCAUUGGAUCGACUCCAAUUCCAAAUAUGUUGAUCUAAGUACCUCUAGGAUGGUGUAGGAACUCACGGAUCGAGAAUAUGAGUCCUGAAUACUCCGAAUCAAUGAUUCAAUGAUUACGUAAAAUAGUAACCGUCCGAUCAUGGGAUCGAGAGCAAUUCGAUAGCUUGAUUUGGACAAAACUUGCAGGACGUGUUUAGUAAACUUUGUUGAACCCUUAGGAUCUUUUGGAUCAAAAAUUGGAGGUCGUGGUCCCUACAGGCCCUGUUGACCAAAUUUGGGAAAUUUGACCACUCGGUUGACCGAGAGUCUUCCGAGAUUAUUUCACCUUUUGAAAUACGUAGUUGGACCUUUGGAACUCCCCGUUCGUCGUACACAUAGUUUGAAUCCUAGGAAACUGGAAAGCUAUGCAUAUAUACAUAUAUAAAAUUGGGAUAAUUUGACUGUUGGAACUUUAAUGUUGUUUUAAUAUUGCUUUAUGGUAUUUUAUGGAUUUAUUGGCGUGAUUUUGGGCACUUGAAGGUUGUGUUUAUUUUGGGAGGAUUUAUUGUUAUCUUGAGAGCUAUUAUCUAUACUUUGAAUAUGUAUAUUUUGGGAUUUGUGUUUUGGACACUAGUGAUGUUGGUUUUCCUAGAGAUACGGGUUGGGUACAUGGGAUUGUCGGAAAGUGGUUACAGAUUGAGAUUUGGGUUGUGGUUUAUGUUAGUCUGGAGUGCUUUUAGCACUACCCUAUGUACUGAGAUUUGGGGUAUCAGUAUACCAUUACGGGAUAUGGGUUUCACCUUGGUUUUAAUUUAACUAUAUAUUUAUAUAUCGGAUUUGAAUGGUUCCAAUUGCAUCUUUUUAGCAUCGUUUUCCAAACGGUGGGUUAGUAUGUUGUUUUCAACUAUGAUAAAACUUUAUUGUUAUCCACUCCCAUUUUCUGUUUUGCGCCCCCCAGGUAGUAACUUAAGCUGUCGAGCGGCCGAACCAAGACUUGAAUUUCCCGUUGAACUUUAUUGCAUUUGUAAACUGAAUCUCUGUAGAAUUGCUCUAUUAUUGCCCAUGUUAGGGUUGGAUGUAAGACUGGAGGCCUAUUUUGUAAAUUGUGUGCUUUUGUUUUGUGCAUGCUGCUGUUGGGAUUGUUUAUUGUGCUUAUAACAGGCUGAAAAUAUGGGAAAGUACGUUUUUCUUCAAGGGAGACUGCAGAAAUUUCGGCAGAAAGUCUCGACCCUCUUUUCCUUUGAUUUGGAGAAGAGGAUCAUGUUAGUAAGUGGGCCCGGCAUCGGGUGGAUGUUUGAAAAAUCACAGGAUUCGUCAUGGAUUCCAAAGAAUUUCUGGGCGAGUCCUAUCAACUUGGUAUCAGAGCAUUAGGUUCAUUUUCCUUUGAACUUCACGCUUCGUGUGCAUUCUUAAAACUAAUGGCUUCCCUGUUUUCCUUCUUAUAGCACCAUGCCUCCUACAUGUGGUAGACCGAGAACUCGUUUUUCCGAGACUGAGGAGCCUAUUCCACCUCCACCAAUCGGUGAGGAAGCGGGUGAGAGCGAACUUGACUUGAGCCAUGUGCUGGACCAAUUACCCGAACAGUCACUACAGCCCCGUAAGGAAGGCGUAACAUUGAGGCUUCGGACAUCAAAAGAGCAUGGAAUUGGGGGCUUAUGACUUCUUUGGUAGUGUAGGCCCUGCUGAAGAUGAAAAUUGGCUCACCUACCUAGAAAGAGUUUUGGAAGUUAUGAGGUGCCCCGAUGAAGAUCGAGUUCAGUUGGCUUCCUUCCUCCUGAAAAGGAAUGCCUACCAUUGGUGGAAGACCAUUCGUAGGGGUUAUGCUGAUCCUACCGCCAUCACUUGGGCAGAGUUUCAGCGUAUCUUCUAUGAGCAAUUCUACUUGCACUCAUACCGAAAUGUGAAGAAAGCCGAGUUCCUGCAUUUGAAACAGGGGUUACUGUUUGUAUUAGAGUAUGAGCACAAGUUUAAUAAGUUAGCUAAGUUUGCUCCAGAGUUGAUUACAAAUGAAUAGAAGAAGUGUAGACGAUUUAAGGAAGGUCUGUGGCUUGACAUUCAAGCAGUAGUCACUGCAAACACUUAUCCUUCUAUGAGAGUGCUGGCUCAAGAAGAUCAAUACUAGUUCAACAAGAUGUUGCAGGGACAUGUGUAGCUUUGGUGGACCAAGUCAAGGUCCAUCAAAGAGAGGGGGAUCCAGUUCCGAUUCUGCUGGUAGUGGCUGGUUCGGUGGACGUGAUAAAAUUCAAGAAGUGGGAGAUCUGGGCCGGGGCCAAAUUGGAGCCAAAAUUCCUGUCAACAGUCAGUGGCUACAGCUAGAGAUUCUUCACAGUAGAAUAGUUUAGCUUGUCACAACUGUGGACAAAUUGGACACUUUAGAAGGGAUUGUCCACAUCUCAUGCAAAGCGAUGGUCCAAGUCAGAGGGGUAGCACAGGCUGUUUCUAUUACAGUCGGGUUUGACACUUUAAAAGUGAGUGUCCUCUUCUCUCUCAAGGUGGUACUGCAAGGCAGGAAACUGUGGCCCAGCAAGGGUAAUGUAACUGUGGUCAGAGUCAAAGUCAGAGUGGUGUCUCUUCUGCAGCUGUAGGUUCUUCAUCUAGUAAUGGGGUUCAAUCUACACUAUGUGGGAGAGGUGGUAGGCAUCUUAAGGGUCAGUCAAGGCCUCCAACUACUUAGGCCCGUGUGUUUUCUAUGACCCAGUAGGAGGCACAUGCCACACCAGAUGUCAUCACUAGUAUGUUACCUGUUUUUGGUUAUCUUGAACAUGUUUUAGUAGAUCCCUGGGCCACACACUCGUUUAUUGCAAACAAUUUCGUACCUUAUGCAAGUGUUAGACCUACCCCUAUCGCGAAAAGUUUUGGUAUUUCCUUACCUACGGGAGAUGUCCUUUUUGCUAACAUGGUGUUUAGAGAUAGUUAUGUUCAAGUGGGUGAUGCGGUGUUGGAAACCGAUUUGAUUCCCUUGGAUUUGCUUGAUCUCGCUGUCAUCUUGGGAAUGGAUCGGUUGGAGAAACAUCAUGCAUCUGUGGAUUGUUUCCGAAAGGAGGUUGUACUUCGAAGUCUAGGAAAACUCAAAGUUACUUUUCGUGGAGAGUGUAGGGUCCCAUCAUGUCUAAUAUCAGGUUUAACAGCAAGACAAUUACUCAAGAAAGGAUGUGUGGGAUACUUAGCCCAUAUCAUCGCUACUCGUAAUGUCACCGUAUGUUCGGAGGAUGUCCUUGUUGUUCGAGAAUUCCCGGAUGAUCUUCCUGAUUUACCUCCCCAACGAGAAACUGAGUUUACUAAUGAACUUCUUCCAGGCACAAAUCUUAUCUAUCAAGCACCCUAUAGAAUCGCACCAGCUUAGUUACAAAAGUUGAAGACUCAGUUGCAAGAAUUGAUUGAUCUUGGGUUCAUCCGACCUAGUGUUUCCUCUUGGGGGUGCACUAGUGUUGUUUGUGAAGAAGAAGGAUGACACUAUGAGGUUGUGUAUCGAUUACAAACAAUUGAAUAAAGU
rnacentral:lncRNA from 1 species